UAUUUAAUAAUACAGCAUUACUUUAUAUGCCCUAUUAAAAUUUCAGCACAAGUACAUUACAUUCAAAGCUCACUAAGGAAAGUACCAUACGAGAAAAGAUAAAAGUGUUACACAAUGGCCCAAAAGUGAUUCUAUCCUCAGACAAUAGGCAGAGAAAAAGACUCUUAGAUAGAUAGAUAAAACAGGAAGCAGAAAUCAAUUUGAUUGAGGCAUGGUAUGGUAUGAAGGAGCUAUGUAUAAAGCAGUGGACAGAAAGAAAUUAAUUUAAAAAAAAGAAAGAAAAAAAAGAGACAAGAGCCAAGU